CCUACGGGUGGCAGCAGUGGGGAAUAUUGGGCAAUGGGCGAAAGCCUGACCCAGCAACGCCGCGUGCAGGAAGAAGGCUUUCGGGUUGUAAACUUCUUUUGACAGGGAAGAGCAGAAGACGGUACCUGUCUAAUAAGCCACGGCUAACUACGUGCCAUCAGCAGCGGUAAUACGGAGGUGGCAAGCUGUGUCCAGGUUUACUGGGUGUAACGGGCGUGUAGCCGGGCUGACAAGUCAGAUGUGAAGUCCAGGGGCUCAACCCCCGAACUGCAUUUGAAACUGUUCGUCGGGAGUAUCGGUGAGGUAGGCGGAAUUCAUAGUGUAGCGGUGAAAUGCGUAGAUAUUAGGAGGAACACCAGUGGCGAAGGCGGCCUGCUAAACGACAACUGACGGUGAGGCGCGAAAGCGUGGGGAGCAAACAGGAUUAGAUACCCCUGUAGUC
rnacentral:rRNA from 1 species